rnacentral:rRNA from 1 species
UAAGCGAUUUGCUAAAUUGCGCGUCGCAAAUAAUGAUGCAUCUUGAUUGCUUUUCCGGAUCAGCUGUUUUCCAGAAUUCGUUGAGCGUCCGCACCUAGUAUAUUCUGCGCUCCUUCUGUUCCCUGGACUUCACUUCCCUGGCUUAUCAUACCGA